AUUGAACGCUGGCGGCAUGCCUUACACAUGCAAGUCGAACGGUAACGGGCCUUCGGGUGCCGACGAGUGGCGUACGGGUGAGUAAUACAUCGGAACGUGCCCGAUCGUGGGGGAUAACGAGGCGAAAGCUUUGCUAAUACCGCAUACGAUCUACGGAUGAAAGCAGGGGACCGCAAGGCCUUGCGCGGACGGAGCGGCCGGUGGCAGAUGAGGUAGUUGGUGGGAUAAAAGCUUACCAAGCCGACGAUCUGUAGCUGGGCUGCGAGGAUGAUCAGCCACACUGGGACUGAGACACGGCCCAGACUCCUACGGGAGGCAGCAGUGGGGAAUGUUGGACAAUGGGCGCAAGCCUGAUCCAGCCAUGCCGAGUGCAGGAUGAAGGCCUUCGGGUUGUAAACUGCUUUUGUACGGAACGAAAAGCCUUCUUUUAAUACAGGAGGGUCAUGACGGUACCGUAAGAAUAAGCACCGGCUAACUACGUG
rnacentral:rRNA from 1 species